UCAAGCUAAUAAGGGCGCAAGGGGAAUGCCUUGGCAUUGGAAGCCGAUGAAGGACGUAGCGAUCUACGAAAAGCCCCGGGGAGGCGAAAGCAGCCAUCGAUCCGAGGAUAUCCGAAUGGGGAAACCCGGCGGAGCAAUACUCCGUCAUCCUUUUGUGAAUCCAUAGCAACUGGAAGGGAACCGCCUGAACUGAAACAUCUAAGUAGGGCGAGGAAGAGAAAUCAACCGAGAUUCUGUGAGUAGUGGCGAGCGAAAGCGGAAGAGGCUAAACCAUAGGUAGCAAUACUUAUGGGGUUUCGGACAGCAUUUAGUAUUGAUAAUUUCUAGUUGAAACGUGUGGGAAAACGUACCGAAGAGUGUGAGAGUCACGUAAGCGAAAGAGAGAGUCAGCGAGCUGUAUCCAAAGUACCGCGGGACACGUGAAACCCCGUGGGAAGAUGGGGGGACCAUCCUCCAAGCCUAAAUACUACCUAAUGACCGAUAGCGAAUAGUACUGUGAAGGAACGGUGAAAAGAACCCCGGGAGGGGAGUGAAAAAGAACCUGAAACCCUAUGCUUACAAGCACCGAGAGCACGUCAAAGUGUGAUCGGGUACCUUUUGUAGAAUGGUCCGGCGAGUUAUUGUAUGCGGCAAGGUUAAGUGCUUAAGGCACGGAGCCGAAGCGAGAGCAAGUCUGAAUAGGGCGAAAAAGUCGUAUGCAAUAGACCCGAAACCGAGUGACCUAUCCAUGUCCAGGCUGAAGUGGAGGUAAAACUCCAUGGAGGGCCGAACACACGUCCGUUGAAAAGGCCGGUGAUGAGGUGUGGAUAGCGGAGAAAUUCCAAUCGAACUCGGAUAUAGCUGGUUCUCUCCGAAAUAGCUUUAGGGCUAGCCUCGUGAAAGAUUACUGGAGGUAAAGCACUGAAUGGGCUAGGGGUCGAAAGAUUACUGAACCCUAUCAAACUAAGAAUGCCAGAUAAUUGAUUCACGGGAGUCAGACAAUGUGAGAUAAGUCUCAUUGUCAAAAGGGAAACAGCCCAGACCCACAGCUAAGGUCCCUAAACAUUGUUAAGUGGAAAAGGAUGUGGGGUUGCAUAAACAACCAGGAUGUUGGCUUAGAAGCAGCCACUCAUUAAAAGAGUGCGUAAUAGCUCACUGGUCGAGUGACUCUGCGCCGAAAAUUUAACGGGGCUAAACUAUACACCGAAGCUUGGGAUACAUCUAAUGUAUGGUAGGAGAGCGUUCUGUAUGGGGAGAAGUCGUAGCGAAAGCGGCGGUGGACUAUACAGAAGUGAGAAUGCCGGAAUAAGUAGCGAGAAUUAAGUGAGAAUCUUAAUGGCCGAAAGUCUAAGGUUUUUGGAGGAAGGUUCGUCCGCUCCAAGUAAGUCGGGAGCUAAGGUCAGGCCGAAAGGCGUAGCCGAUGCACAUACGGUUGAUAUUCCGUAACCAUCUGUAAUUUAAGCAAAGGGACACUUCAAAAGGGUGUGACCCGGGCGUUGGUUGACCCGGGCGUAAGGGACCGAAAUUAGAGUAGGGAAGCACACUUAGCUGAAGGCGAGAAAAGCUUUGCGUAUAGAAACAGAUGCCCGUACCGCAAACCGACACAGGUGGACAGGAAGAGAAUUCUAAGGCCAGCGGGAGAAGGGUAGUUAAGGAACUCGGCAAAUUGACUCCGUAACUUCGGAAUAAGGAGUGCUCGAAAGAGCCGCAGAGAAUAGGCCCAGGCGACUGUUUAGCAAAAACACAGGUCUCUGCCAAAUCGAAAGAUGAAGUAUAGGGGCUGACACCUGCCCGGUGCCGGAAGGUUAAGAGGAGGAGUGAGAGCUCCGAAUUGAAGCCCCGGUAAACGGCGGCCGUAACUAUAACGGUCCUAAGGUAGCGAAAUUCCUUGUCGGGUAAGUUCCGACCCGCACGAAUGGUGUAACGACUUGUGAGCUGUCUCAACAGGGGGCCCGGUGAAAUUGAAGUAUGGGUGAAGAUGCCCAUUACCCGCGACUGGACGGAAAGACCCCGUAGAGCUUUACUGUAACCUGACAUUGGAUCUUGAUAACGGAUGCACAGGAUAGGUGGGACGCUGGGAGACGAGGACUUUGGUUUUCGUGGAGCGGCCGUUGGGAUACCACUCUUCUGUUAUUGAGAUUCUAACCUCAAGCCGUGAGCCGGAUGAGAGACAGUGUCAGGCGGACAGUUUGACUGGGGCGGUCGCCUCCGAAAGAGUAACGGAGGCGCCCAAAGGUACCCUCAGAAUGGAUGGAAACCAUUCGAAGAGAGCAAAGUCAGAAGGGUGCUUGACUGCGAGACCAACAAGUCGAGCAGGUACGAAAGUAGGGCUUAGUGAUCCGGCGGUAAGAGAGUGGAAUUGCCGUCGCUCAACGGAUAAAAGCUACCUCGGGGAUAACAGGCUGAUCUCCCCCAAGAGUUCACAUCGACGGGGAGGUUUGGCACCUCGAUGUCGGCUCAUCGCAUCCUGGGGCUG
rnacentral:rRNA from 1 species